UCCACGGCAUGUGGGAUCCUCCCGGACCGGGACACGAACCCCUGUCCCCAGCAUCGGCAGGCGGAAUCUCAACCAGCGCGCCACCAGGGAAGCCCUUCAUCCCUUCUUUAACUAGCUGCCUUUAGAUCUGAAUAAUCAUAGUCUUAAAAAUCUAGGAAAGAAGUGGAUGGGAAUUGCAGACAUAGAUGUAAUAUCAAAAGCAUUUUAAGACAGAAUUUUUAUUUCCUGUAGUAGGCUUGUUGGGGCAAAGAAAAUGUGCUGCUAAAAAUCAAAUUAUCCCAUUUUAAAAUGAGAUAAAAUACAGAGAGUGCCAUCCUGCUAGGUAUAUGCAGACCAGAAGAAAAUUUAGUUGGGGAAGUACUUGUUUUUCCACAGUCUGGUAUUCUAUUAAAAUCAAAAAGGAGAAAAGGAGGAUUUUUUUUUUCUCUCAGGCUCUAAUAUAUUUUAGAUUUGUUUCUGUUGUAUAGAUUUAUUCAACACUCCCACAUAGAUGUUUUUAUAUUACACGAAUUUAAUCACGAACUAAACUUAUUUUUGUCCUUCCUUGUUGAAAGGUACCAAAGCCUCUUUCUGGUUUGUUUUGUUUUGUUUUUUAAUUUGAUUUUGCUGUAUAGGGUUUUGCUUUUUCUAGAAAUGCUUACACCUUUUCUAAAGUGUCAGAGCCCACUUUGAUCUGCAAAAUUAUUGUGUUUAGAUUUCCAUUUGUAUGCAUUUAUUUGUCUCUAAAGGCAUUGGUGAAAUCUCAGAUUUUAUAUUCAGCAUUAAAGAGGAAUAAAUUACAGAAAACACAUAUUCUGAAAAUGGAGUGCUUGUUCCCGACCGUUUCUUACACCUUUUCUAAUUUUGCUUCUGUGUUUGGUUGAAACCUUCUUGUUUAGCUGGGAUGCUGUAUUUCUGCUCCCAUCAUGAACCCCAUACCUGAAAGCUGCAGAUUCGUUGUAAAAAUGCAGACGGAUCAUUUGAGUACUUGAGGAGACACACUUGUGGUUGUGUGUGUGUGUGUGUGUGUGUGUGUGUGUGUGUAUGUGUAAGUGUGUGUGUUGGAGGUGACUGCAGAAUCAUCUCAGACAGUGACCAGGACGAAGGAUGGCGUUAAAUCGCUCAUCCCCUGGUUGGUUCAAAUAGAUGACGGUGGUUUCUUGAGUACAAUGAAGCGAUGGGCUGUGGAUUCCCUUCCCUAAUUUCGUGCAGGAGAAAAGUACAGUGUAGCCACAGCCCUUAAUAGCAGGGCUGCCUUUGCUGCAAACACCUCUGAAGGCAGAAGACGUUUCUGAAGGCAGCGUCUGAGGUUAAGCCCAUCGCUGAACUAUUUCUAACUUAAGCACCAAGAUGAGGGAGGGUGAAGGAGGAGAUAAAGAGAACAGGCUGUCAGUUUCCAGAAAUGCACUAAAUUGUGAAGCCAAAGAAGCCAAGUAAUCCCCGCCCACUUGUAACCCAGAUUUUCAAAGUUUUCCUAGUUUUCUAGAAAUGCAGGCCAGGUUAGUUUGGUCAUCCCAUUAAUCAGCGUGUGUUGAACCCCUAGAAUGUGACAGGGACUGUCUGAGCAGGACAAUAGUCUCCACCCUCAAAGAGGAGAGAAACGGAGAAGGAUUAGCAGCAGUGACAGUGGCAGUGACUUGAGAAACAGCUUGAAGCAAUUUUGUCGUGAAGGGGGAGAGUUUUUUUCCUGGAAUAAGAAGAGUAAUGUGUGUGCCUUGUAACAUGAGACAUCUCUCUGUGUCCAGCCUCUCGUUCCUGUAUUGUCACGUAAAGUUGAUGUCCCCUGUUGAAUCGGUCCAACUAAGUCAUGGUGGCCUUUAUCUGUUUGUUCUUUUUUUAAAAAAAGAGGGACUUCAAUGAAUCACACAGAUACCAUCUAUAAUCUGCAGAACAGUGAUGAAUAUUAAUAGGAUUUUGUCCUAGAUUUCCUAAAAUGUUAGUUCUCUGUAUCUGUAAAACUCAUUUGAGCUCGAAAGAAUAUAUGGAUAAUAUGCUUUUAAAA